rnacentral:rRNA from 1 species
CCUGGCUCAGGAUGAACGCUGGCGGCGUGCCUAACACAUGCAAGUCGAACGAAGCGCCUUUUGAGAUUCUUCGGAUGAUCAUUUGGUGACUGAGUGGCGGACGGGUGAGUAACGCGUGGGUAACCUGCCCUGUACAGGGGGAUAACAGCCAGAAAUGGCUGCUAAUACCGCAUAAGCGCACAUGAGGACAUCCUCAAGUGUGAAAAACUCCGGUGGUACAGGAUGGGCCCGCGUCUGAUUAGCUGGUUGGCGGGGUAACGGCCCACCAAGGCGACGAUCAGUAGCCGGUCUGAGAGGAUGAACGGCCACAUUGGAACUGAGACACGGUCCAAACUCCUACGGGAGGCAGCAGUGGGGAAUAUUGCACAAUGGGGGAAACCCUGAUGCAGCAACGCCGCGUGAGUGAAGAAGUAUUUCGGUAUGUAAAGCUCUAUCAGCAGGGAAGAUAAUGACGGUACCUGACUAAGAAGCUCCGGCUAAAUACGUGCC